rnacentral:rRNA from 1 species
CAGCACCUCAAGUGGUCAGGAUGAUUAUUGGGCCUAAAGCAUCCGUAGCCUGCUUUGUUAGUUUUCGGUUAAAUCCAUACGCUCAACGUAUGGGCUGCCGGGAAUACUGCAAAGCUAGGGAGUGGGAGAGGUAGACGGUACUCGGUAGGAAGGGGUAAAAUCCUUUGAUCUAUUGAUGACCACCUGUGGCGAAGGCGGUCUACCAGAACACGUCCGACGGUGAGGGAUGAAAGCUGGGGAGCAAACCGGAUUAGAUACCCGAGUAGUCC